rnacentral:rRNA from 1 species
AACGAACGCUGGCGGCAGGCCUAACACAUGCAAGUCGAACGCUCGUAGCAAUACGGGAGUGACAGACGGGUGCGUAACGCGUGGGAACAUACCCUUUGGUUCGGAAUAACUCAGGGAAACUUGAGCUAAUACCGGAUACGCCCGAGAGGGGAAAGAUUUAUUGCCGAAGGAUUGGCCCGCGUCUGAUUAGCUGGUUGGUAGGGUAACGGCCUACCAAGGCGACGAUCAGUAGCUGGUCUGAGAGGAUGAUCAGCCACACUGGGACUGAGACACGGCCCAGACUCCUACGGGAGGCAGCAAUGGGGAAUAUUGGACAAUGGGCGCAAGCCUGAUCCAGCCAUGCCGCGUGAGUGAUGACGGCCUUAGGGUUGUAAAGCUCUUUUACCCGGGAAGAUAAUGACGGUACCGGGAGAAUAAGCCCCGGCUAACUUCGUGCCAGCAGCCGCGGUAAUGUCACAUGCUGAGACUG